GUAAAAAAAAUGAGGGGGUUUCUAGGCACUCCCGUUUGCAAGGGGAGCGAGUGGGCAGUGGGGAAAAAGGCCAAUCCUCGCUCGAACCCUAGCCGCCUCCACGCUCGCUUCCUCCUCCUCCAUCCUCCCGCGUCAGUUGCGCCCCCUCCACCCUCCCGCAUCUCGUCCACCCUGGGAUCCGGGUUAUGCGGAGGCGAGCUUCCCUGGCGCCGGCGGCGCUCAGUUGGAUCCGAAGGAGAGAGAGAAGAUGAGAGGGAGAAAAAGGGAAGAGAGGAGGGAGAGAGAGAGGAAAGAGGAGAGGGAGGCGCCACGUCGGAUGGGAGAGGGUCGCAGCCGGCGCAGGCCUGCUUCGGCGAGGUUAGGCGUGAACUGGCGGUUGGCGGCGGCUCGAUCCACUCCUGGAUCGAGACCUACGAGGAUGCUGGGGCUCGGGCGUGAGGCACGGGAGGCUGCGCUCCGCCUCUUCCUCGCUCAACAAGAGGAGCAUGUGCAGUGCGGGUGGUGCGGCGGACGGCGGCUCAUGCAGUGGUGCGGCAUCCGGUGGCCUCAGCGGGUGGGCAACGACACCUGCAACUGGUGCACAAUGGUGACGCCAUGCAGCUCCUGCACUCCGCAACCCUCUCCUUCCCGGCACAGCAGGAGCAGGAGCAAGGAUGCCGAGCCAUUUCAGUUGCAAGGAAGAGUAGGAAGAUCAGGCAGAGAAGGUUUAACAUACCUCUUCUACACUGACAAGUCUUUGCUUCCCAGGAUUGUCAUGGUGAGCUGCUGCUGUAGUGCUUUAUAAUUUGUUGGCGACCUUCCUGAACAUGUGCAGCUUGAUGGUUCUGCACAAUUGCUAGGAGCAGCUUGAUUAGGCUCCUCCGGAGGGACAUAUCCCCUUUAACCCUCCACUGUCAAUGAUGGGAAAAACAUGGUGCUAGAGGACAAAGAAUCGUUAAGCAGAAUCUGCUACCAGCUGUGCAAGUGUUUGUCGUGGCUGCGGAUGAAUCAUGUAAGGAUGGUGCAGAACUCACAAGAGGGAAACAACCGAACCGCGGUAACCAAAUCAAACAGCUGAUAAGGUACAAAUUUUGGAAGAUAUAUGGUUUGCCCUAAACAAGCAUAUACAUCAGAGUACAAAGGGGAAUUACGUCUCUGUUUUAUGUUAUGUUUUCUGCUUGCUAUCUUGUUUACAGACUCUGUAAGUGUGCCUUUCUAUUGGCAAGCUUUGUGCCAAUGACUCAACAGUCAGCUAUCAAUUAGAAUAGCAGGGGUUUGAGCUUGUUUAAACUGUAGAGUACACAUUCAUGUACUGUUUCUCAGACAUCAAGAAAACAUGAGAUAAACAUGUAUGACGAUCUACCAUGUUAUUACUCGGGUGUUGAUUAGGAAGCACACAUAGGUUUAGCAGAGAAGAAACUUCCAGCGAAGAAGUUUCCGUCAUUUAUCAGGUCAGGCUAUGGAAGUAAACGUGAGCAUUGAAGCUAAU